AGGUGUGAUUAAGUGAGUAUAACGUCUUGCAGAUUAGAAACGCAUAUCGAAAAAAAGGAUAUCAGAGUCUUUUUAAACUCGCGCAUGAUUACGCAGGGUUUUGCAUAUGAACGCAUAAAGCCCUUUUUAGGCAGUCAGUAUGACCUCUUGAAAACUGUGUUGACUGUGGUCCCAGAAAAUAUAUUACUAAUGGACAUCCGAGCCGGAUAAAACAGAUCAGACAUCAUAAAACGCGCCACGGUUUUUUUUAAAUACAGUCAUCUCUUAAAAAUUUUUGAUAUUGUUUUAAAAGCAAAACUCGGCUUUGGGAAUUAUCUGGUACAUGACUGUAAAACGGAACAAAGGCAGUGACACCUGCUGAACGUUGGCAGUAGCGACUGCCAUUACGAAACUGACGACAACCAGCAGAUAACGGUUCGUCACAUGCGCGUCAGCUCUUAGUCCAGAGCGUCCUCCAACCUCCGAAAUAGAUAGACGCUAGAGAGGAGCGAAUGCGUCGUUUGCUGAUAGCGAGCGCACGGGCAGCCACGCGUUCGAAUGUCGUAUCGUUUGAACCGUGGUAUUUGGGAUCUACAGCUGACACAAUAUAACUCAAUUAAAAAAAUUCAUUUUUUGAA
rnacentral:lncRNA from 1 species